GACGAACGCUGGCGGCGUGCUUAACACAUGCAAGUCGAACGGAAAGGCCCUGCUUUUGUGGGGUGCUCGAGUGGCGAACGGGUGAGUAACACGUGAGUAACCUGCCCUUGACUUUGGGGUAACUUCAGGAAACUGGGGCUAAUACCGGAUAGGAGCUCCUGCUGCAUGGUGGGGGUUGGAAAGUUUCGGCGGUUGGGGAUGGACUCGCGGCUUAUCAGCUUGUUGGUGGGGUAGUGGCUUACCAAGGCUUUGACGGGUAGCCGGCCUGAGAGGGUGACCGGCCCCUUGGGGCGUGAGUUAGGCCCCACACCCCCACGGGGGGGAGGGUGGGGGAAUGUUGCCAAGGGGGGGGAGGCUGCAUGCAGCAACCCCGGGGGGGGGAGGGGGGCCUUCGGGUGGAAAACCGUUUUCGCCUGGACCGAAGGGGGAGUGAGGGUAAUGGGUAAAAAACCACCGGUAAAUUCGGG
rnacentral:rRNA from 1 species